rnacentral:rRNA from 1 species
UACGUAGGUGGCGCGCGUUGUCCGGAUUUACUGGGCGUAAAGCGCGCGCAGGCGGACUGAUCAGUCUGGGGUGAAAUCUCACGGCUCAACUGUGAGCGGUCCCUGGAUACUGUCAGCCUUGAGAUGUCUAGAGGAGAGCGGAAUUCCCGGUGUAGUGGUGGAAUGCGUAGAUAUCGGGAAGAACACCAGUGGCGAAAGCGGCUCUCUGGGGACCAUCUGACGCUGAGGCGCGAAAGCGUGGGGAGCAAACAGG